rnacentral:rRNA from 1 species
GGAGUCUGGACCGUGUCUCAGUUCCAGUGUGGGGGACCUUCCUCUCAGAACCCCUAGACAUCGUCGCCUCGGUGUGCCGUUACCACGCCGACUAGCUAAUGUCUCGCGAGCCCAUCCGCAUCCGACGGAUCUUUCAAACGUGGGUCAUGCGGCCCUCGUUGUUAUGGGAAAUUAGACGGCGUUUCCACCGCUUAUGCCCCGGAUGCGGGCAGGUUGCUCACGCGUUACGCACCCUUUCGCCGGUCGCCGGCGGGUAUUGCUACCCCCGCUGCCCCUCGACUUGCAUGUGUUAAGCCUGCCGCUAGCGUUCAUC